GUACACUCCUACGGGAGGCAGCAGUGGGGAAUAUUGCACAAUGGGCGCAAGCCUGAUGCAGCCAUGCCGCGUGUAUGAAGAAGGCCUUCGGGUUGUAAAGUACUUUCAGCGGGGAGGAAGGCGAUAAGGUUAAUAACCUUGUUGAUUGACGUUCCCCGCAGAAGAAGCACCGGCUAACUCCGUGCCAGCAGCCGCGGUAAUACGGAGGGUGCAAGCGUUAAUCGGAAUUACUGGGCGUAAAGCGCACGCAGGCGGUCUGUCAAGUCGGAUGUGAAAUCCCCGGGCUCAACCUGGGAACUGCAUUCGAAACUGGCAGGCUAGAGUCUUGUAGAGGGGGGUAGAAUUCCAGGUGUAGCGGUGAAAGACGUAGAGAUCUGGAGGAAUACCGGUGGCGAAGGCGGCCCCCUGGACAAAGACUGACGCUCAGGUGCGAAAGCGUGGGGAGCAAACAGGAUUAGAAACCCCAGUAGUCCCAUGA
rnacentral:rRNA from 1 species